rnacentral:miRNA from 1 species
CUCUGUCUCUAUGUGUGUGUGCGUGUGCAUGUGUGUGUGUGUGUAAUCCCACCCAGUACUCACAUACUGAAUAGUUUCAAGAGUUACAAAUA